UGAGGAAUAUUGGUCAAUGGGCGCGAGCCUGAACCAGCCAAGUCGCGUGAGGGAUGACGGCCCUACGGGUUGUAAACCUCUUUUGUCGGGGAGCAAAUUCCGCCACGUGUGGCGGAGUCGAGAGUACCCGAAGAAAAAGCAUCGGCUAACUCCGUGCCAGU
rnacentral:rRNA from 1 species